UACAGAGGGUGCGAGCGUUAAUCGGCAUUACUGGGCGUAAAGCGCACGUAGGCGGCUUGGUAUGUCGGGUGUGAAAUCCCCGGGCUCAACCUGGGAACUGCAUCCGAAACUGCCUUGCUCGAGUAUGGGAGAGGGAAGUGGAAUUUCUGGUGUAGCAGUGAAAUGCGUAGAUAUCAGAAGGAACACCCGUGGCGAAGGCGGUUCUCUGGGACGGUACUGACGCUGAGACGCGAAAGCGUGGGGAGCGAACAGG
rnacentral:rRNA from 1 species